UACAGAGGGUGCGAGCGUUAAUCGGAAUUACUGGGCGUAAAGCGCGCGUAGGCGGCUUUGCAAGUCGGGUGUGAAAUCCCCAGGCUUAACCUGGGAACUGCAUUCGAGACUGCAUUGCUAGAGUAUGGGAGAGGGAAGUGGAAUUUCCGGUGUAGCGGUGAAAUGCGCAGAUAUCAGGAGGAACACCAAUGGCGAAGGCAGCUCGCUGGAACGGUACUGACGCUGAGGCGCGAAAGCGUGGGGAGCAAACAGG
rnacentral:rRNA from 1 species